CGGGGUGCACCAGGCGCGAAAACUUUACAAUGCGGGAAUCCGUGAUAAGGGGACACCGAGUGCCAGCAUCAUAUGCUGGCUGUCCAGGUGUGUAAAAUACACCUGUUAGCAAGGGCCGGGCAAGACCGGUGCCAGCCGCCGCGGUAACACCGGCGGCCCGAGUGGUGAUCGUGAUUAUUGGGUCUAAAGGGUCCGUAGCCGGUUUGGUCAGUCCUCCGGGAAAUCUGACGGCUCAACCGUUAGGCUUUCGGGGGAUACUGCCAGGCUUGGAACCGGGAGAGGUAAGAGGUACUACAGGGGUAGGAGUGAAAUCUUGUAAUCCCUGUGAGACCACCUGUGGCGAAGGCGUCUUACCAGAACGGGUUCGACGGUGAGGGACGAAAGCUGGGGGCACGAACCGGAUUAGAUACCCGGGUAGUCCCAGCCGUAAACGAUGCUCGCUAGGUGUCAGGCAUGGCGCGACCGUGUCUGGUGCCGCAGGGAAGCCGUGAAGCGAGCCACCUGGGAAGUACGGCCGCAAGGCUGAAACUUAAAGGAAUUGGC
rnacentral:rRNA from 1 species